rnacentral:rRNA from 1 species
GAUGAACGCUGGCGGCGUGCUUAACACAUGCAAGUCGAACGGAAAGGCCCAAGCUUGCUUGGGUACUCGAGUGGCGAACGGGUGAGUAACACGUGGGUGAUCUGCCCUGCACUUCGGGAUAAGCCUGGGAAACUGGGUCUAAUACCGGAUAGGACCACAUUUUGGAUGGUGUGGUGGAAAGUUUUUCGGUGUGGGAUGAGCUCGCAGCCUAUCAGCCUGUUGGUGGGGUAAUGGCCUACCAAGGCGUCGACGGGUAGCCGGCCUGAGAGGGUGUACGGCCACAUGGGGCCGGAGAGACGGCCCAGACUCCUACGGGAGGCAGCAGUGGGGAAUAUUGCACAAUGGGCGCAAGCCUGAUGCAGCGACGCCGCGUGGGGGAUGACGGCCUUCGGGUUGUAAACUCCUUUCGCUAGGGACGAAGCGUUUUUGUGACGGUACCUGGAGAAGAAGCACCGGCUAACUACGUG